rnacentral:sRNA from 2 species
AGGGACUGCGUGAUAAGUCUGCAAAAUCAGCGAUGCAUAGGGUACGGGAGACGAGCAAUUCCGCAUACCUGGGAACCCGGACAAAGUUCGACCAUGCCAAGUAUAUUUCAAACAUCCAUUUGAUGUUGGUUUGGGGACGUUGUUUGCUCAGUCUCACGACCUCCAGCACAUAUAUUUUACUUACUUGACCCCCCAAAAGGUGGGGAAACGCAUGUUAAGCUUUCAUUAUAGAUCCCCGUCCGUUCUUGGAAUAUUCAGAGCCUGUCGCAGGUGUCAAGACACUCAAAACAAAGAUCAUGUAGCUAAAAUCCGUGUCUGGGUCGAGCAUCUUAAUUUCAUGGAAAACCUGCGUGUCGUGUCAGAAACUCUUGCUUUCAAACCUAAUAUGUGAAAUGUUUCAGCCCGUGGGAUCGCGUGAAGCCGAGAUGAGUUCCAAUUUCUGGCUGAUGCUGGUUGUGGUUCAAUAUACAAAACGAUAUAUACAGGCAUAUACCCAUCGGCGGAAGCGGCUACUCCCUGAAGAGCGACUACAUAGGGACAAUCUGGCGGUUUGGGCCGAUCUCGUGAAGCAUGUGGCCACUGCGGAAAUGACCGCCGUGCGUUGGUGACCAAGGCUGAUGAGACCUGUAGAUUAAACAGAUAUUCUAUUGGAACUACUUAACCUGCCUGCGGAUUAAAUAGGGCGAAAUCUUACGCUAAGGUGACACGUAUCUUUUUUUGGGGACCCCUAGGGAAAACAAAAGCUCUUCCUACUUUAAAACAAUAACAUAGAAUAAUACUACGUUCUAUAUAUUAUCCGAUGCUCUUCAGCAGCGUAUGUAUAAUUGUAUGGAUGGAUAUAUACAAGUACAUGGGUAUAUAUAUGAAAAGAAGAGAAGGCCAAACUAUUCCGACCUGGGUAUCAACUGUAUGAUGCAAUGCACGAAAUCAAUGAAAGUAGAAUAUGCCUGGCAUGGGACAAAAUCACCAAAUAAAAAAUAAAUAAUUAAAAAGAAAAGAGGAAAAAGUUGAAAUCAAAAUUGGGAAUCCACACCCUCAUCGCCCGUGCCGGAAGGGAGAAUGAUGUCCAAGAGAGAGCCACCAGCAAAACCUCAAGCCCAUACUAGCUUCUUAAUAUCAAAUACCAAAUGCUCCAAAUAUCCCGUCCGUUUCUUCGCACCAGCCGUUGAGAUGAUCUCCCUCUCUUCAACGAUUGUAUGUUUAUCAACACGCCCCGAGUCGCCUGUAUCGGCGGCGCCGUUUUUAUCCGGCGCGCCCCGCAUGCAAGUGCGCUCAAUCUCUUCGCUGAGAGCACGCGCAGCGUCCUUUUCACUGACCUGCACGUUAUCCAGGGCAUUCCUUGCAGCUAUGUUAGUUUGUGGGAGGAUUUUGAACGCCAAAAUGCGCGAGGCUGGGAGUCUACUGUUGCCACUGCCGCUCGUUUUGAAUAGUGAGGUAAUGUCCCAAUCCGGUCCUGGGGUCAGGGGAUUGUUCGUGGC